UGGAAGUAAAAGUCGUAACAAGGUCUCCGUUGGUGAACCAGCGGAGGGAUCAUUACCGAGUUUACAACUCCCAAACCCAAUGUGAACGUUACCAAACUGUUGCCUCGGCGGGAUCUCUGCCCCGGGUGCGUCGCAGCCCCGGACCAAGGCGCCCGCCGGAGGACCAACCAAAACUCUUUUUGUAUACCCCCUCGCGGGUUUUUUAUAAUCUGAGCCUUCUCGGCGCCUCUCGUAGGCGUUUCGAAAAUGAAUCAAAACUUUCAACAACGGAUCUCUUGGUUCUGGCAUCGAUGAAGAACGCAGCGAAAUGCGAUAAGUAAUGUGAAUUGCAGAAUUCAGUGAAUCAUCGAAUCUUUGAACGCACAUUGCGCCCGCCAGUAUUCUGGCGGGCAUGCCUGUCCGAGCGUCAUUUCAACCCUCGAACCCCUCCGGGGGGUCGGCGUUGGGGAUCGGCCCUGCCUUUGGCGGUGGCCGUCUCCGAAAUACAGUGGCGGUCUCGCCGCAGCCUCUCCUGCGCAGUAGUUUGCACACUCGCAUCGGGAGCGCGGCGCGUCCACAGCCGUUAAACACCCAACUUCUGAAAUGUUGACCUCGGAUCAGGUAGGAAUACCCGCUGAACUUAAGCAUAUCAAUAAGCGGAGGA
rnacentral:rRNA from 1 species